GGGUACACACGUAAAGGAUGAACAAGGAAGACCAAGCACUGAACCCUGGGGGACGCCUUUGGACAGAGGAGCGUUGAAGGAGACCAGAGAUAGUUUUGGAGGAGGCUGCAGGACAGAUGAAUUCAGAGGAAAAGGAGAAGAAAAGGGGAUGACAGAAAAGACAACGACGGAGGUAGAGAGCAGACCACAUCACACAACAACGUUGUAUCCGGCCAAUUACCCCACUCUUCCAAGCCAUCCCAGUCGCUGCUCCACCCCCUGUUGAUCCGGGGAGGGCUGCAGACUACCACAUGCGUUCUCUGAUACAUGUGGAGUUGCCAGCCGCUUCUUUUCACUUGACAGUGAGGAGUUUCGCCAGGGGGAC